rnacentral:rRNA from 1 species
GAUGAACGCUGGCGGCGUGCCUAAUACAUGCAAGUCGAGCGAACGGACGAGAAGCUUGCUUCUCUGAUGUUAGCGGCGGACGGGUGAGUAACACGUGGAUAACCUACCUAUAAGACUGGGAUAACUUCGGGAAACCGGAGCUAAUACCGGAUAAUAUUUUGAACCGCAUGGUUCAAAAGUGAAAGACGGUCUUGCUGUCCCUUAUAGAUGGAUCCGCGCUGCAUUAGCUAGUUGGUAAGGUAACGGCUUACCAAGGCAACGAUGCAUAGCCGACCUGAGAGGGGGAACGGCCACACUGGAACUGAGACACGGUCCAGAGUCCUACGGGAGGCAGCAGUAGGGAAUCUACCGCAAUGGGCGAAAGCCUGACGGAGCAACGCCGCGUGAGUGAUGAAGGUCUUCGGAUCGUAAAACUCUGUUAUUAGGGAAGAACAUAUGUGGAAGUAACUGUGCACAUCUUGACGGUACCUAAUCAGAAAGCCACGGCUAACUACGUG